rnacentral:rRNA from 1 species
GUCAAGUAAGAAUACCCGCUGAACUUAAGCAUAUCAAUAAGCGGAGGAAAAGAAACUAACAAGGGUUCCCUUAGUAACGGCGAGUGAAGCGGGAAGAGCUCAAAUUUUAAAUCUCCGAGGUUUUCCUUGGCGAGUUGUAAUUUGAAGAGAGUGUUUUGACGUUCGGGUUCAAUCCAAAUCCUUUGGGAUAAGGUAUCAUAGAGGGUGAGAAUCCCGUUUGUGAUUGAAUCUCGAGUGUCGCUUAAUUCACUUUCCAAGAGUCGAGUUGUUUGGGAUUGCAGCUCAAAACGGGUGGUAAAUUUCACCUAAGGCUAAAUAUGUGCAAGAGACCGAUAGCGAACAAGUACCGUGAGGGGAAGAUGAAAAGAACUUUGAAAAGAGAGUUAAAUAGUACGUGAAAUUGUUGAAAGGGAAACGAUUGAAGUCAGUCAUGCUAGUGAGGAAUCAACCGGAUGGUGCGUGGGUUCUCCCUCGUACUUUCCGGUGCACUUUCUCACCCGGCAGGUUAGCAUCAAUUUCGGUUAUCAUAAAAAAUUUGAGAGAAUGUGGCUUUUCUUCGGGAAAGUGUUAUAGAUCUCGAUCUAUGUGGUGACCGGGAUUGAGGAUUGCAGCGGAUACCCUCGUGGCUCGUCACCUGGCUUCUGACGGUUACCCCGCUUUCGAUAGCUCGCUAACGUUAGUGGGACUCGAUCGUCUAGAUGUCAGAGUGAUUGAUUUUCGCUAAGGAUGCUGACGUAAUGGCUUUAAACGACCCGUCUUGAAACACGGACCAAGGAGUCUAACAUGUGUGCGAGUGUU